ACCUCUGGAGAGACCACCCGGUACGGUCACCGAAGGGGAAAGUCUGAUAUUCAGAUAGCAGACAAUCUCUCAGGUAAAAGGACAGGGGAC
rnacentral:ncRNA from 1 species